UCUUUGAUGGUCUAGUGGUCAUGAUUUCCGCUUGUCAGAUAGUGCUCGCGGGAGACCGGGUUCGAUUCCCCGUCAGAGAG
rnacentral:tRNA from 2 species